AGAGUGUAACUUAGUGCAAGUGAGAACAUUCACGUGGGCCUGCCCCAGCUGCUGUGGUUGCACGGAGCUCCCCGACACUAGAGUUAUUCCAACCCAACUCCAUCACCCCUCCUUGAAUAGGUUUUGGGAAAGAUGCACCAUUGCCCAGAGAAUUGGAUCAGAUGAUAUGCCACGGCUCUUCCAAACUUAAGAAUCCGAACUCCUUUUGUCUAGCCAAGAAUUUGGAUGAAUCUGUCCUCUGCUCACUAGCCACAUGACCUUGGACAUGUUUAUUAGCUUUCCGAGCCUUCAUUUUUUCAGCUGUAAAAUGAGGUUAUUAUCUCAAAAAAUUGUUAUAAGCAUCAACAGAGAUAAGGAAUGAUUCCUGGUGAAAUCAUAAACGUCUUCUCCUGUCUCUGUACCUUACCCAGUUCUGGGGUGACCAGGUGAGUGCCUGGAGUGGCUGUCCCAUGGGUCAGAGCAAAGGUCACAUGUGCUUGAGGAAUCAGCACUAAAUCAAAUUUCACUAGCCAUCCUCCCUCCAGGGUGUUCCCUUUGGCUCUUUUUGUCUUCCCUAUCUCCUGUCUUUAAUCUCCCCUUCUUCCUUUCCCUUGUGUUCACUCAGCUAGCACUUUCUGAGAGGUCCUCUGUCCCAGAUACCCUGCUGGCUGGGGCAGCGCAUGAAUCACAUGCAGUUGAGAAUGUGAGCAGUGUCUUGCCUGGUGCUGACAGAGAACGGAAGAGGAGGGCCAUGCUCUAAGGGAGGCCUGUGCUGUGGGCUUACAGAGGGGCGGUCCUUUGGCGGGGGCAAGGCUAGAGGAGUGGUGGCCAGACAGGGGAAGUUUACACUAGGAAUAAGAUGUUUGAGCCUGUCUUUGAAGAACAGAUAAUGACUUUCUACACAGAGAAGAUGAGGGAGACCCACCCUGCGCCCGCAGCUUUUCUGUCACCGUCUUGGAGUCUAAGGAUCUGAGCGUAUCCCUUUCCCCAGUGAGGCUACUCUUUGAAGGAAGUUACCAGGAGGCUGCCAUCCCCACAACAUUUUGAUCCUAAAAUAUUGGAGCUAAAUCCGUCCUUUGAGAUCAGCUGACUCGAUGAUUACCAGACUCUGUGCACAGCCGAAUCAUCAGGUUGGUCUGUUUAUCAUAUAGAUUCUCACGUAUUGCUGAUGCACUGGGUCUGGGAGUGGAGAGGGCGGGGACCCCAAAUCCUACUGAGAAGCAACAAGGAGGGGACCUGUGAGGAGGGUGUGGACAAAGUGGAUGGAAGGCCGCCCACACAGUCGUGCCCCGGCAGGGAGUUGUUAGAGGCAAGGGCGGCAUCCCAGGUAGAAUCAGACAGUUGGCAU